rnacentral:tRNA from 1 species
GCCGGCGUAGCUCAGCUGGUAGAGCAACUGAUUUGUAAUCAGGCGGGUUCGACUCCUGUCGCCGGCU